GAAACAUUAUUUUAUAAAAAGUAAAAACAUAGUAAUUUGUAAACACAAUUGUUAAUUGUUUACAAGCCAUAUAUGGUCAUGUUUAUUCACAAGUUCACUCAUGCAUGUCGGCAUGUGUUACAGAUAUGUUUGUAAAAAUGGUCAACCAUGCAUAAAUAACGACAUGGUACAUAUUGUUGUUUUAUUCAUAAACAUUAUAGGG
rnacentral:lncRNA from 1 species